rnacentral:lncRNA from 1 species
UGCCGCGCCCCCUAUGCUGCUGCUCGCCUCUGCUGCAAGCUGCUCCUCCUGUUACGCACAACAACAUCAAUUGCUCAGCAGCCUGCCCCAAUGCGAUCUCCAGAACCUGCCUUGCAUCCUCUGUACUGUUAUAGGUACUCCCCAUCAGUAAGCAAGGUGAAGUAGACAAGCGCUCAAGCAGAAGCAAGGGAAGCAGGGCUACAUAAAGGAGAUGCCUGGACAUGCAGCUCUUUGGAUCACUAACUGGGAUUGUGUUCAGCACUCAUCAUACAUAAAGGCGGACCUUGACAGCAGGUUGGCUGCUAGCACUGCGGUGCGCAUCGUGCUGCUCUGGGCUGGCCAGGAAGCUCGCCUGUGCAGGCAAGCCUUCCAGAUCCAUGUACCCAUUCACUCCUGUCCCCUCCGCUGCUGGCUCAGCCUCUUGCCGCUCCAGCAUCUCUGCAUUGUCCUCCAUCCUGCCGCUGCUGACAGCCUGAGCCCUGCUGACAUCAUCGGCCCUGCUGACGUCACCGUUGACGAGGCUCGGCUGUGUGCCCUCCAGCCCCGCUUCGCUGAUGUCAGCGUGCGCCAGCGAUGCGUCAUCCGCGUCGCCGAGCAGCACCACCUCACUUCUUGCUGCUGCCUCGGUCUCU